GUGCCAGCAGCCGCGGUAAUACGGAGGAUCCAAGCGUUAUCCGGAUUUAUUGGGUUUAAAGGGUGCGUAGGUGGGAUGAUAAGUCAGAGGUGAAAGCUAGCAGCUUAACUGUUAAAUUGCCUUUGAUACUGUUAUUCUUGAGUGUAGUUGGCGUUGGCGGAAUGUGACAUGUAGCGGUGAAAUGCGUAGAUAUGUCACAGAACACCGAUCGCGAAGGCAGCUAACGAAGCUAUCACUGACACUGAUGCACGAAAGCGUGGGGAGCAAACAGGAUUAGAAACCCGCGUAGUCC
rnacentral:rRNA from 1 species